UACGGAGGAUGCAAGCGUUAUCCGGAUUUAUUGGGUUUAAAGGGUGCGCAGGCGGACCGGUAAGUCGUCGGUGAAAUCCACACGCCUAACGUGUGAAGUGCCGAUGAUACUGCCGGACUGGUAUGCAAGGGGCGCGGCCGGAAUGUGUCGUGUAGCGGUGAAAUGCAUAGAUAUGACACAGAACGCCGAUCGUGAAGACAGGUCGCGAACUUGUGAUAGACGCUCAAGCACGAAAGCGUGGGGAUCAAAC
rnacentral:rRNA from 1 species